UCUGGAAGACUAGAAUGCACACGUGCGCUAUGUUAUGGUCGAUGUUGCACGAAAUAGUUAGUGGAGAACACAACUUACCAUAUGCAAGAUAUGUCGUUUUUGGAUUAUAGACGCAUCUUAAAGAUUAUUGAAUGUUUGUUCAUUUUGGACGAAUCUAAUUGAGUACCACUGUAGAGUCUCAAAAAUUGACGGGAUAUUUAUUUUCGUUCGAAAACCAGUGAACCAUCUUUCAAAACUUACAAGUGGGCAUGAGUUAACACAAAAUGAUCGAAUUCACCGGGAGCAGACUAAGGAG